rnacentral:pre_miRNA from 1 species
CUGUGGUGCAUUGUAGUUGCAUUGCAUGUGUAUGAACUGAGUGCAAUGUUUCUGCAGUGCAACACAG